UUUUUCAACUCCAACGCAACGAUAGCACAAUAGCCCAGCCAGCAGACUCUCCCCACACACUGAAGUCAUGAGGACUGAUGGAAGAAGCUACAGAGGGACGUCGGACUAACCCCAAAAUAAGACCUCAACAAUGUCUGCAGGGUCAGACAGCCCGUUGGAGUUCCAUGCAGAUCUGCUACAAUCCCCACCUGCCUCCUUACCACAGAUCACACUACUACCAGACAUCCCUUAAAGGAAGUCAGAGAGCACAAACCUGCCUCGAAGCCGGCCAUGCCUCAGCUAGCAGGCACUACCAAAGUGGUGUCCAUGUCCAUGAGGCCACAGUCUCCUUCAAAGCCCAGGACCAGAGAGGCCAGCAACAGGGACCAGAAUGUGUAUAUACAAGAGCAAGAAGGAGUCAGAGCAGGUGUCUAUCUUGGAGAAGGAAGCGGCUGAGUGGCGCAUCCGGAGAUCCAACUUCCUCAGCAGAUGUCAGGCUCUGAGCUUGGACAGCACGGAUGAGAGCAGGAACAGUGAGGACUCGGUCUCCGACCAAUCCCACGGGAACGCCCCUGCGGAAGAUAAAAAAAAAAAGAAAAUGAGGAAACCGAAAGAUAGGUCUACACCUACACCAAGGACUUCCACUGACGACAGCAUCUGUACUGUCAAGUUUACCACAGAGCAGCUUCAUGAGGCCCGGGGGAUCAUAGGGGCUGAGGGCCAGGAGGACCAGCAGAAGACCCUGAAGAGUCAGUGGCCACGGCUAUGGGGCUUGGCAGAGGGAGGAUGGUGGAGGAGAUUAUUGCCUCCCUACAGAGAGGAGGCAGUGAUAUGUCGUCUGCCUCAGACCAGAUGAUCAAGGGGCUGAUGGGGAGAGUGAUGGGGGACCAUAGAAUGAAUUCAUUCUAUUUCUAUGUGGGGGACAGCUACAAUGCAGACAAUGAGGAAGCGAAAACAGCGCAAUCAAAAUCGUAGGAUUCAGAACAGGAGAUAGAAGAUAAUAUUAGCCCUGUACAAACAGGUCAUGGAGAGACUACAGGCAGUGUAUUUAGAUUUAUCGCAUUUGACUUGCCUUGGCUUGUGACAUUGAAAAAUAGCUUCUCAGAGCAUUUGAGAACAUUUUAAGCGUUGAGCUUUCUGUUAAGGUUGUAUAAUGUUUGUAUGAUAGUUAACAGACAUCUUAUGCUGAUUUUCCAGAGUACUCCUCAGAUGUCCCCGGUUCCACAGAGGAUGUUGUGGGUUAAGAGGGAGACACCAACCCCUUCAAGACCUGUUGAGUUCCCUAAAGUCACAUCAGGUCUACAAGAUGGCUGGCUCACUGUCUGAGAGAAUCAGGGGUCUACAAGAUGGCCGACUCACUGAGAGAAUCAGGGGUCUACAAGAUGGCCGACUCACUGUCUGAGAGUGACAGACCGACAACAACAACUGCUCUAUUGCCUCUGCUCUCCCA